AUUGAACGCUGGCGGCAUGAUUUACACAUGCAAGUCGAACGGUAACAGGCCGCAAGGUGCUGACGAGUGGCGAACGGGUGAGUAAUGCAUCGGAACGUGCCCAGUCGUGGGGGAUAACUACUCGAAAGAGUAGCUAAUACCGCAUACGAUCUAUGGAUGAAAGCGGGGGACCGUAAGGCCUCGCGCGAUUGGAGCGGCCGAUGUCAGAUUAGGUAGUUGGUGGGGUAAAGGCUCACCAAGCCAACGAUCUGUAGCUGGUCUGAGAGGACGACCAGCCACACUGGGACUGAGACACGGCCCAGACUCCUACGGGAGGCAGCAGUGGGGAAUUUUGGACAAUGGGCGCAAGCCUGAUCCAGCAAUGCCGCGUGCAGGAAGAAGGCCUUCGGGUUGUAAACUGCUUUUGUACGGAACGAAACGGCUCUGGUCAAUACCCGGGGCUAAUGACGGUACCGUAAGAAUAAGCACCGGCUAACUACGUG
rnacentral:rRNA from 1 species